UACAGAGGGGGCUAGCGUUAUUCGGAAUUAUUGGGCGUAAAGGGCGCGUAGGCGGCCACCGCAAGUCGACUGUGAAAUCUCCGGGCUUAACCCGGAAAGGUCAGCCGAUACUGCGGGGCUAGAGUGCAGAAGGGGCAACUGGAAUUCUCGGUGUAGCGGUGAAAUGCGUAGAUAUCGAGAGGAACACCUGCGGCGAAGGCGGGUUGCUGGGCUGACACUGACGCUGAGGCGCGAAAGCUAGGGGAGCGAACGGG
rnacentral:rRNA from 1 species